rnacentral:rRNA from 1 species
ACGGGAGGCAGCAGUGGGGAAUCUUGCCCAAUGGGCGAAAGCCUGAGGCAGCGACGCCGCGUGAGGGAGGAAGGCCUUCGGGUUGUAAACCUCUUUCAGGAGGGACGAAGCUACUCGGGUGAAUAGCCCAGAGGGUGACGGUACCUCCAGAAGAAGCCCCGGCUAACUACGUGCCAGCAGCCGCGGUAAUACGUAGGGGGCAAGCGUUGUCCGGAUUUACUGGGCGUAAAGCGCGUGUAGGCGGCCACGCAGGUCCGUUGUGAAAACUAGAGGCUUAACCUCUAGACGUCGACGGAAACCGUGUGGCUAGAGUCCGGAAGAGGAGAGUGGAAUUCCUGGUGUAGCGGUGAAAUGCGCAGAUAUCAGGAAGAACACCAAUGGCGAAGGCAGCUCUCUGGGACGGUACUGACGCUGAGACGCGAAAGCGUGGGGAGCGAACAGGAUUAGAUACCCUGGUA